GCUUAACACAUGCAAGUCGAGGGGCAGCAUGGUCUUAGCUUGCUAAGGCCGAUGGCGACCGGCGCACGGGUGAGUAACACGUAUCCAACCUGCCGUCUACUCUUGGACAGCCUUCUGAAAGGAAGAUUAAUACAAGAUGGCAUCAUGAGUCCGCAUGUUCACAUGAUUAAAGGUAUUCCGGUAGACGAUGGGGAUGCGUUCCAUUAGAUAGUAGGCGGGGUAACGGCCCACCUAGUCUUCGAUGGAUAGGGGUUCUGAGAGGAAGGUCCCCCACAUUGGAACUGAGACACGGUCCAAACUCCUACGGGAGGCAGCAGUGAGGAAUAUUGGUCAAUGGGCGAGAGCCUGAACCAGCCAAGUAGCGUGAAGGAUGACUGCCCUAUGGGUUGUAAACUUCUUUUAUAAAGGAAUAAAGUCGGGUAUGGAUACCCGUUUGCAUGUACUUUAUGAAUAAGGAUCGGCUAACUCCGUGCCAGCAGCCGCGGUAAUACGGAGGAUCCGAGCGUUAUCCGGAUUUAUUGGGUUUAAAGGGAGCGUAGAUGGAUGUUUAAGUCAGUUGUGAAAGUUUGCGGCUCAACCGUAAAAUUGCAGUUGAUACUGGAUAUCUUGAGUGCAGUUGAGGCAGGCGGAAUUCGUGGUGUAGCGGUGAAAUGCUUAGAUAUCACGAAGACUCCGAUUGCGAAGGCAGCCUGCUAAGCUGCAAC
rnacentral:rRNA from 1 species